CGUGUAGGCGGUCCGCUAAGUCUGAUGUGAAAGCCCGGGGCUCACCCCCGGAAGGGCAUUGGAAACUGACGGACUCGAGUCCCGAAGAGGAGGGUGGAAUUCCUGGUGUAGCGGUGAAAUGCGUAGAUAUCAGGAGGAACACCGGUGGCGAAGGCGGCCCUCUGGACGGUGACUGACGCUGAGACGCGAAAGCGUGGGGAGCAAACAGGAUUAGAUACCCUGGUAGUCCACGCUGUAAACGAUGAGCACUAGGUGUCGUGGGUAUUGACCCCCGCGGUGCCGUAGCUAACGCAUUAAGUGCUCCGCCUGGGGACUACGGCCGCAAGGUUAAA
rnacentral:rRNA from 1 species